UGACCGUGUUCUGCUGGCGGUACCGUUGCUGUAGGGCCCGUUCGAUCGCUGUGGCUUCUUUAGUGAAUUCCGCUACUGUUGUCGGUGGAUUUCUCACAAGCCCAGCAAACAGUUGCUCCUUCACUCCUCGCAUGAGAUACCGUAACUUCC
rnacentral:lncRNA from 1 species